CCAGAUGUGUGACAGGGGUGUGGACGAGACUUUGCAGCAUGUAGUGCUGGAAUGUAAGAAGUAUGACAGGGAGAGAACGAAGAUGAUGCAUGUGUUUUUGAGUGAGAUGGGACGUGGAGUAAACGGGAGGACUGGAAGGGAGUGGAUGGUGCUGCUGCUGGGGCUCAGUGGAGAGACGAGUGGACGAGUGAUUGAGGCAGUGAAAGAGUUCUUGGAGGGCAUGUGGCGUGAAAGAUAUAGGGAAUGAUAUCUUGCCCCGAGAACAUAGACUUUCCGCAUGUUUUUUGUUUUCUUUUCACAGGAGCUGCCGAUACAAAGGCCUGGCUGGGGAGAAAUCCCGAGCCACCUGUGACAUCAAGAUCAAGAUCAAGAUCAUUUCAACAAUAACAAACCUGAUAUUCCCUUAUUUAAACUCUCACAGACACUUAAAUAGGUGGAACUAAGUGUAAAAAAGUGUUUAACGUACUUAUAUGUGGUACUUAACACUUAUAAGACCUUAAAAUAGCUAAAUAAAGGCUCCAUAAAUACGAGACUUGGCACCGUUGCACCAGCUCAACCAGGACCAAGAUCAAGUGUAGCUGCCGGCGGACAUCUUGAAGACAUCCUCGCCGAUUUCCUGCUCGUGCUGAGAAGUGGAUGAAGGAGCAGCCGCCUGUGGGACGCAUCCUUCAUCUGCUGAGUGGACAGCUCUGUCGCAUCCACAUCAGCAUCCAGGCAGCCCUUAGGUCCGCCAGGGCUGGUCGAGGUGCUUCCGUUGAGUUCUACGUGAAGGCCUAACAGGUAGUUUGAGAGCAGGCGCAGUUGCUGUAGCUUAGCCGUUAGACCACCGCGGUGCCAACGCUCCAGCUACGUCCAGGCAAUCACAAGAGAGGGCUGGGCAUCACCAAGGGCGCCAUGCCAGGACUUUGAGAGGAGGCGGAGGAGGAGGUCUGAGGUGGAGCGGCCCUUCUGAAAACCAAAACGCUUCAGUGACUCCAGGCGGAUCCCCUCGAGGAAGGAUGUCAGCUGCUCCCCGAUGAUCCUCUCAAGUAUCCUGCCGAUGACUGGGAGGAGCUAUUGGAUGUUUUCUUGUCCAGGCUUGUCUGUGUAGGGCCCUGUUUUCCUGUGUGGGGUGCUGGUGUGCUGGACGGUGCUGGUCUGGCGGAGAUGCCGUGCUGUGGGUCACCGUUAAGGACUGUACCCCGUGCUGUGACCUCGGUGAAGACCCUCGCCUCCAGGUGUUGAUGUAGGUCGCCCACAACCAUUGCGUACUGACACCUGUGGGCAGCCUUGAGGUCACCCAAGUGCUCUGUGAGAUAGAUGGCGGGGCGCUGCUUUCCUUCCGCCCUUCCUUCCUUCCUUCCUUCCCUCCUUCCUUCCGCCCUUCCCUCCUCCCUUCCUCCCUCCUUCCUUCCUUUCUUCCUUCCUUCCUUCCUUCCCUCCCUCCCUCCCUCCCUCCUCCUCCUCCUCCUUCCUUAUAUAAGUUUAAGUAAGUGCAGAAAUCUUACUUAUUAACUCCCAUGUGCUACUUAACACUUAUAAGACCAAUGUUAUUAUUAUUAUUAUUAUUGCAGAGAGAGAGAGAGAGAGAGAGAGAGAGAGAGAGAGAGAGAGAGAGAGAGAGAGAGAGAGAGAGAGAGAGAGAGAGAGAGCUCACCAGGACAAGGUUUAGGAGUUGAAGUUGUCUUUGAAUUUUGGAUAUUUUUAUGUUGGAAAGUUUUUAGUUAAGUACAAAUUUCUCCUGAACUAUAAGGUUGUGAGCACUGCCAGUUAUAGGUGUUGUAGGUGAGUGUUAGGAGCAUCUUGUGUUAGAAUCUUGUGUUCCUAACUGUUGUGGAUUCUGAGAUAUUGCCAGUUAGAGUUGACACACACACACACACACACACACACACACACACACACUAACUCUGUGAUGGUUCUUGCAGGGAAGGAGCCGAGAUGAGACCAGACUCAGCCCUCCAGUGAGCCCAGGAGACCACCAGGGGGACACCCACGCACCUCAUGGCUUGGGGGGGGUCACAUGGAGGCGGUGGAUCAUUUUGGAGAACUACUCUUUCCCCGGGCACUGAUUCUCACACGCCCAACGGAGGUGGUCCUGGAGGCCUGUGCAUUGGUGUGGGUGGCGCUGAUGCUGUUGAUGUUAUGGCCGACAUUUCCUGGGAGCUGAAGUGCCCUAAGCUCCGGAAAACGUUGAAAGGAAGAACCAAAGGAAGGAAGGAAGACCAUCUCAGAAGACCCCAGAGUCAGCCCCUACAGUCCAUCACAGUCCAAGAAAUAGCUGAAGGAAGUCCCAAGUCCAAGCAACCUUCCUUUCUUUCUGAUUCAAGUCGUCUUUACCUUCAGCGAGGGGGCAAAGCGACCAUGGACCUCUCCCUUCCCUUCCUUUUCUUUCCCUUCCCUUCCUUUUCUUUCCCUUCCCUUCCUUCCUUCCUUUCCCUUCCCUUCCCUUCCUUCCUUCCCGUCCCUUCCAUUUCCUUCCCUUCCCUUUCCUUCCCUUCCCUUCCCUUCCUUCCUUCCUUCCUUCCUUUCCCCUCCCUUCCCUUUCCUUCCCUUCCCUUCCUGUCCCUUUCCUUCCCUUCCUGUCCCUUUCCCUCCCUGUCAUCAGCCACACUGUGUCUGCCAUCCAUGUCUUGCAGCAGGCCAGCCAUUCUGACUUGAUCUUCUUCCUUCCAAACAAGCAGUCACUCUCCUCCUCAGCACAUGACCCAGAAGCUUCACUUGUCCUAUGCUUUUCAUCAAGUGCCUGGCUGUCUGCUGCUGCUCUUUGUCAUAGAGUUAAGUUGUCAUUAUCUUAGUUAGUUAGUUAGUUAGAGGUCCAGAUAAUUGUUGUAUGGGCAAGACUCCUGUCCCUCCCUCUCCUUCCCUCCCUUCCUCUCCCUCAAGUUCCCAGUCUGUGGAGGUCCAGAUAAUUGUUGUAUGGGCAAGACUCCUGUCCCUCCCUCUCCUUCCCUCCCUUCCUCUCCCUCAAGUUCCCAGUCUGUGGAGGUCCAGAUAAUUGUUGUAUGGGCAAGACUCCUUCCCUCCCUCUCCUUCACUCCCUUCCUCUCCCUCUCCCCCAAGUUCCCAGUCUGCAGAGGUCCAGAUAAUUGUUGUAUGGGCAAGACUCCUGUCCCUCCCUCUCCCUUCCUUUCCAGUCUUUCUCUCUUGUUCCAUUAUUUAUUUUCUCUCCCUCCCUCUUUCUUUGCUCUCUCCCUUCUUUCAUCUCCUCUCCCUUCAGCCGCAUUAUCGUCUUCCUUCUAAUCCAUAGCAUUUUCUCUCUCCCUUUUACAUCUGCUUUAUUUCCUUCUCUCUCUCUCUCUCUCUCUCUCUCUCUCUCUCUCUCUCUCUCUCUCUCUCUCUCUCUCUCUCUCUCUCUCUCCAAACCCAUUGGAAUAACAAUAAUAAUAAUAACACACACUACAAGUCCAUCUUUAUUUAUCAACAGCACACACACACACACACACACACACACACACACACACAGGGGAGGUCAUGUGGCUAUCUAUGGUGUGGGUUGGGUUGCUGUCUAAGAGGGCAUGUGUCUGUAGGGUGACAUCCUGUUGACCUUGUGACCUGAGACAGAGUGGGGGGGGGGUCCUUUUAUGUGGCUGGGGGGUAGGUGUCUGUGGGGAUUGUCAACAUACUGUGGUAGGACAUCCUGUAGGGUCCUGUGGGCUGUGGUGAGGUGAGGUGAGGUGAUAUAUAUAUAUAUAUAUAUAUAUAUAUAUAUAUAUAUAUAUAUAUAUAUAUAUAUAUAUAUAUAUAUAUAUAUAUAUAUAUAUAUAUAUAUAUAUAUA